CAGCCGCCACGGUAAUACAGAGGGUGCAAGCGUUAAUCGGAAUUACUGGGCGUAAAGCGCGCGUAGGUGGUUUGUUAAGUUGGAUGUGAAAUCCCCGGGCUCAACCUGGGAACUGCAUCCAAAACUGGCAAGCUAGAGUAUGGUAGAGGGUGGUGGAAUUUCCUGUGUAGCGGUGAAAUGCGUAGAUAUAGGAAGGAACACCAGUGGCGAAGGCGACCACCUGGACUGAUACUGACACUGAGGUGCGAAAGCGUGGGGAGCAAACAGGAUUAGAUACCCGCGUAGUCCCUGUCUCUUAUAA
rnacentral:rRNA from 1 species